GCGGGUUUAGCUCAGUUGGGAGAGCGUCAGACUGAAGUUCACUUCAGCCCAGUCAAUUGACAUCUGAAGGUCAUGUGUUCGAUCCACAUAAACCGCA
rnacentral:tRNA from 1 species